GUGAGUUAUUAGUACCAUACAUAUGCAAUGUCUUUUACAUAAAUGUGAGGACGGUUGCGACGUCCUCACCAUUAAUGGUUGUCGGAAUAACGGCUGAAAAGCCAUGAUAGGCAGACUGAUAGUAAAUGCAUAAAUAAUGUUGGCCGUUACAGAAGGCUAGCUUCGAUGACCGUUGGGCAGGAGGGUGCGAAGAUUGGGCUGAGCUCGAGGUAAAAGCGAGCGAACACGUCAUAUGUUGGGCUUAGGCCCGGUUCAGAACAAAAGGGUUUGCGACCGUGAUGUCAAAGUUUUUUAUGCCCUUGUGAUUUUAUCGCACUCGCAUAAACCUCCUUACUAGACCGUAAUUUUUUGCCUAAAUCAAAGAUUCCAACAUGACUAGGACC
rnacentral:lncRNA from 1 species